GAUGAACGCUGGCGGCGUGCCUAAUACAUGCAAGUCGAGCGAACAGACGAGGAGCUUGCUCCUCUGACGUUAGCGGCGGACGGGUGAGUAACACGUGGAUAACCUACCUAUAAGACUGGGAUAACUUCGGGAAACCGGAGCUAAUACCGGAUAAUAUAUUGAACCGCAUGGUUCAAUAGUGAAAGACGGUUUUGCUGUCACUUAUAGAUGGAUCCGCGCAGCAUUAGCUAGUUGGUAAGGUAACGGCUUACCAAGGCAACGAUGCGUAGCCGACCUGAGAGGGUGAUCGGCCACACUGGAACUGAGACACGGUCCAGACUCCUACGGGAGGCAGCAGUAGGGAAUCUUCCGCAAUGGGCGAAAGCCUGACGGAGCAACGCCGCGUGAGUGAUGAAGGUCUUCGGAUCGUAAAACUCUGUUAUUAGGGAAGAACAAUUGUGUAAGUAACUAUGCACGUCUUGACGGUACCUAAUCAGAAAGCCACGGCUAACUACGUG
rnacentral:rRNA from 1 species